UGGGAAUUUUGGACAAUGGGCGCAAGCCUGAUCCAGCAAUGCCGCGUGCAGGAUGAAGGCCUUCGGGGUGUAAAAUGCUUUUGUACGGAACGAAACGGCUCUGUCUAAUACAUGGGGCUAAUGACGGUACCGUAAGAAUAAGCACCGGCUAACUACGUGCCAGCAGCCGCGGUAAUACGUAGGGUGCAAGCGUUAAUCGGAAUUACUGGGCGUAAAGCGUGCGCAGGCGGUUAUGUAAGACAGAUGUGAAAUCCCCGGGCUCAACCUGGGAACUGCGUUUGUGACUGCAUAACUAGAGUACGGCAGAGGGAGGUGGAAUUCCGCGUGUAGCAGUGAAAUGCGUAGAUAUGCGGAGGAACACCGAUGGCGAAGGCAAUCCCCUGGGCCUGCACUGACGCUCAUGCACGAAAGCGUGGGGAGCAAACA
rnacentral:rRNA from 1 species